rnacentral:rRNA from 1 species
AAUCAACGCUGGCGGCGUGCCUCAGACAUGCAAGUCGAACGAUUAAGACUUCCUUCGGGAAGUGCAUAAAGUGGCGCACGGGUGAGUAACACGUAAGUAAUCUACCCUCGAGUGGGGAAUAACGUUCGGAAACGGACGCUAAUACCGCAUAACGCAGCGGCACCGCAAGGUGACAGUUGUUAAAGGAGCAAUCCGCUUGAGGAGGAGCUUGCGGCAGAUUAGCUAGUUGGUAAGGUAAUGGCUUACCAAGGCUACGAUCUGUAUCCGGUCUAAGAGGACGGUCGGACACACUGACACUGAAUAACGGGUCAGACUCCUACGGGAGGCAGCAGUCGGGAAUUUUGGGCAAUGGGCGAAAGCCUGACCCAGCAACGCCGCGUGAAGGAUGAAGUAUUUCGGUAUGUAAACUUCGAAAGAAUAGGAAGAAUAAAUGACGGUACUAUUUAUAAGCUCCGGCUAACUACGUGCCAGCAGCCGCGGUAAAUCCUCGCGUGA